GAUGAACGCUGGCGGCGUGCUUAACACAUGCAAGUCGAACGGGAAACCUUUUAUUGAAGCUUCGGCAGAUUUAGCUGGCUUCUAGUGGCGGACGGGUGAGUAACGCGUGGGUAACCUGCGCUAUACAGGGGGAUAACAACCAGAAAUGGUUGCUAAUACCGCAUAAGCGCACAGGGCCGCAUGGUCCGGUGUGAAAAACUCCGGUGGUAUAGGAUGGACCCGCGUUGGAUUAGCCAGUUGGCAGGGUAACGGCCUACCAAAGCGACGAUCCAUAGCCGGCCUGAGAGGCUCAACGGCCACUCCGGGAGUGAGACACGGCCCAGACUCCUACGCGAGGCAGCAGUGGGGAAUAUAGCACAACGGGGUAAACCCUGAUGCAGCGCCGCCGCGUGAAGGAAGAAGUAGCUCGGGAUGUACACUUCUAUAAGCACGGAAGAUAGUGACGGUACCUGACUAAGAAGCACCGGCUAACUACGUG
rnacentral:rRNA from 1 species